CUCACCCUCUCUCUCCUCUCUCUCCCUCUCCCUCUCUCUCUCUCUCUCUUUUAAAAAAUCAGCCAUUUGGGGUUUUAAGCCAUAAACGAUUUUUCUUGUUGCAGGGGAUUGCAGUGGCAAAGCUAGGCUAGGUCUUGGAGGCUGGUGUAAGGCGAUGCGGGUGAAGGCAGGAGGCUGAUGGAGAGACUGAGGGGAAGAAAAGCCGAAAUGGAUUCACGGUGCCUUGGAUGGAGGAUGAGAGGGGAAUUGCAAGCUCCUUCAACUCGUUCUGUCCGGUGAGAAGUGAUCAAGCUUGGGCUGACAAGAGGCUCAGGGAGCCCUCACGUUCUUUCGCUUUUUUACCUGCCAAUCAAACUGCUACAAGACAACACCCUGAUCUGGCAUGGACAUGAUGCCACCAUGAAAUUUUUAUUUUCUCUGGCAAAGCAGAGUUCUCUCUGAGAGUUCUGGCCCGUGGACUCAGUAUGUAAAUGUGGUCAUCAAGCAAGACGGAACUGCCUGAAGGGAAGAUUAUGAAUGUUUCUCUUAAAAAACCCUUUGCAACAUUCCUUCUUUCUGUGAUCAAUUUUACAUCAUAUUUGACAUCAUCAUCCUCGUUAACCUUAAACUUAUUACAAACAUAUUACAUGUACAUAGUCGGACACUGAGACAAUGCAAGAGAGAAUCAAGAAGAAAAUAAAUGUCACUUGCAGUCUCACCAUCCAGAGAUAAUCACUGUUCGCAUCGGUCAGUCACACUUUCAUUAAGAAAAUAUUCAAAGGACAAGAAGGUUUUACCAGUUGCCUGAUUGGUGAUACCAAGAUUUAUGCCGUCAUAGAAGAAACCAUACACAAAGCUCUUCUCUUAAUCGUGUGCCGUGGCCACCAACUCUUGAUCACCAUCAAGUUUCCAUUGCAUGUGUGUGUUUGUGAUCACAAGAGUUCAUGUAUUUUGUAUUAUUUGGA